GUAUUUAUCAUGAACGUCUAUAGGAUUAUUCGAAAACACGUGUUACAAAACAAGAUUAUUAUUGUUAUUAAUUAAAUGAUGUAAAAUAUUUUUAACGAGAAUUUUGAUAUGGGUGAACCAAACAUAUACAUACAUACACACACACACACACAUAUAUAUAUAUAUAUAUAUACAUAUAUAUGUAUUGAAGUGAUCGAUGAUCAACUUUCGGACCUCGAAGGUCUAGGUAUAGAUAUUUUUUUAUUUCCUAUUCCGGUACCACCUCUCAACGAGGAAAGAAUGGAAAGAUGGACGUGAUUUAGGAUAUCGUUAAUCGAGCGUGACUGAUCAGGUGUUAAAGAGGCCUUAGUCAUUGAGUGUGUGGGAAGGAAGCGCUCGGAGAGGGAUGGAAGGAGGAGAGGUUGCGUCUUCUUUUCGUUCUUUCAGUUAAUCUUCCUUGUUUGUUGGCUGCCUCGAAAGAAUUGGCACGCGCCCAACCGUUCCUGCAUUAUAUGGAGGCUUUUGCCGGUAGGCGGUCCGUAAAGUAUAUGUAUUACGUGUUUGGAAGAGGGGGGACUGGUGUUGCACGAGGUCGACCAGAGUAGGUACUACGUACUAAACAAAUCCACGAGAAAGCUUUUGCUUUGCACGCUCUUGUAUGGUUGUAUAUGUGUAUGUGUGUGUAUAUCCCUAUGUAAGUAUUAUGUAUUUGUCGCACGCGUACACAUUUCCUCUCUCUUUCUCUCUCUCUCUCUCUCUCUCUCUCGUUCAGUCAUACGUGUACACAUGGUCGCGGCAGGUCCGCGUGUAGCUGCUGCUUCCGUCGACGCUGAUGUAAUGGGUCUCGACGUUAGUGGUUGUGUCGGUGGUGAUGUUGGUGGUGGUGGUUUGUCGGUCGGGUCAGGUUCACAGAAGCCAUUCACACUUCGCACUACGGCAUAAAGAAGCGCCAGGCGCCUAGAGGCAAUAAAGUAGGUAGUUGGUACGGGUAGGGGAGAGGAACGGCACAUCGGCGCGACGUGGAAAACGGUAGGGGGUUGCCUCUUUCCCACUCUCUUUCCCUCUCUUUCUCUCUCACUCGUUUACUCACUCUAUGUAUCUAUCUAUCUCUAUCUCUCUUUCUUUACAGUACCGUGGAGGAUGAGAAGAGGGAAGGAGGACAGUGGGAAUUUCAGGGUCGUAGGGAGAUAAUGCUUCCCUCUCUCUUUCUCUCUCUCUAUCUCUCUCUUCGUUCUGCAUGGCACUGAAUGGAACGGAUCGCGAGGCAUGCUUCGUGUCGGUUUCCUAGGGCUACCCUAUACUUAGAGGUCGAUGAACUAUCUCUCUCCGAAGAAGUUUCGACGAUUUAUUAACUCGAUUGUUUUCCAUUUCUUUCCCAUCGCCUCACACAGUUCUUUCCCACAGAGGAGAAUGAUAUCCUUUUUCUUCUUUUUUCUUUUUCUUUUCUAUUCUUUUUUCUUUUUUUUUUUCUUUUUUUUUUUUUUUUUUUUAAUUACAAUGAGAACCAAAAAGGAAAAGAAAUAAGAAAAAUUGACUCUAUACGUGAACGUAUGUAUAACCGCGUAAUAACGCGUAUACGUAUGUCUCAUCCAUAGGGUGUACGCAAUUAUCCAGUAUACGUAAGAAGAAUAGAAGAUAAGAUAUUUAAUGAUUAAUUCAAAAUUGUACGACGUGUAAUCGAUCGUCGAAUACUCGGUUACUUACUGAUUCACUCACUCACUUAUUUACUUACUUACUUACUUACUUACUUACUUACUUACUUACUUACGUUGAGAAUAGUUUGAAAAUGUUAAAGUCAAGAUGGUAUAUAUCAGCUGACUGGUACCGUUUCUAAGAUGCACUCAUUCAUCCCCGCUCCAAUCUACCUACCCUUCCUUCAUUCACACGUGGCCUCUCCUAUUCGCCCAUUGACGUGCCUCCGUUUUCCAUCUUCCUUGCACUCACUAUAUCUCCUUCUCUGUGUGUGCCGGUCUCGCCACCGCAAUCGCGUUAUACCUCUGCCUCUAUCUCCGCCUCUCGUUCUCUCUCUCUCUCUCUCUGUCUUUCUCUCUCUAUCUUUCUGUCCCGCUCUCUCUCUGUCUCUCUUUCUGCUUCUCUCUCUGUCUCUCUCUCUCUCUCUCUCUCUCUCUCUCUCUCUCUUUGAUGCACGUUCUCUCUUGGCCAAGUAAUAGGACUACCACCAGCAAGAAGCACGGAUAUCCAUGAGCUUCUCGACCCGUUUCUACCAACACCCCCUUCCUAUCUCUUUCUCUCUCUCUCUCUCUCUCUCUCUCUCUCUCACACACAUUAACACCCUCUCUUCCCUCUUUCUCUUUCCAUUCCAGCCGGCCAAGCGCGCACGGAAUCCCUCGGGCUGUUGUGUUCUCUCCUUUGUUUAUCGUUGCAAACGAUGCGCUUGCCUUGCCAGCUCGUGGUAGAAAGAGAAAGAGUAACAGAGAGAAAGAAAGAGAGAGAGAGAGAAGCAAACGAGAACACCACGAGAAAGAUAGAGAAAGAAACAUUCGUAUUCUAUACACGUGCA